GGGACCGGGGGGGCGUGCUAAUACAUGCAGUCGAACGAGUUCUGAUUAUUGAAAGGUGCUUGCAUCUUGAUUUAAUUUUGAACGAGUGGCGGACGGGUGAGUAACACGUGGGUAACCUGCCCUUAAGUGGGGGAUAACAUUUGGAAACAGAUGCUAAUACCGCAUAAAUCCAAGAACCGCAUGGUUCUUGGCUGAAAGAUGGCGUAAGCUAUCGCUUUUGGAUGGACCCGCGGCGUAUUAGCUAGUUGGUGAGGUAACGGCUCACCAAGGCAAUGAUACGUAGCCGAACUGAGAGGUUGAUCGGCCACAUUGGGACUGAGACACGGCCCAAACUCCUACGGGAGGCAGCAGUAGGGAAUCUUCCACAAUGGACGCAAGUCUGAUGGAGCAACGCCGCGUGAGUGAAGAAGGCUUUCGGGUCGUAAAACUCUGUUGUUGGAGAAGAAUGGUCGGCAGAGUAACUGUUGUCGGCGUGACGGUAUCCAACCAGAAAGCCACGGCUAACUACGUGCCAGCAGCCGCGGUAAUACGUAGGUGGCAAGCGUUAUCCGGAUUUAUUGGGCGUAAAGCGAGCGCAGGCGGUUUUUUAAGUCUGAUGUGAAAGCCCUCGGCUUAACCGAGGAAGUGCAUCGGAAACUGGGAAACUUGAGUGCAGAAGAGGACAGUGGAACUCCAUGUGUAGCGGUGAAAUGCGUAGAUAUAUGGAAGAACACCAGUGGCGAAGGCGGCUGUCUGGUCUGUAACUGACGCUGAGGCUCGAAAGCAUGGGUAGCGAACAGGAUUAGAUACCCUGGUAGUCCAUGCCGUAAACGAUGAAUGCUAGGUGUUGGAGGGUUUCCGCCCUUCAGUGCCGCAGCUAACGCAUUAAGCAUUCCGCCUGGGGAGUACGACCGCAAGGUUGAAACUCAAAGGAAUUGACGGGGGCCCGCACAAGCGGUGGAGCAUGUGGUUUAAUUCGAAGCAACGCGAAGAACCUUACCAGGUCUUGACAUCUUUUGAUCACCUGAGAGAUCAGGUUUCCCCUUCGGGGGCAAAAUGACAGGUGGUGCAUGGUUGUCGUCAGCUCGUGUCGUGAGAUGUUGGGUUAAGUCCCGCAACGAGCGCAACCCUUAUGACUAGUUGCCAGCAUUUAGUUGGGCACUCUAGUAAGACUGCCGGUGACAAACCGGAGGAAGGUGGGGAUGACGUCAAAUCAUCAUGCCCCUUAUGACCUGGGCUACACACGUGCUACAAUGGAUGGUACAACGAGUUGCGAGACCGCGAGGUCAAGCUAAUCUCUUAAAGCCAUUCUCAGUUCGGACUGUAGGCUGCAACUCGCCUACACGAAGUCGGAAUCGCUAGUAAUCGCGGAUCAGCACGCCGCGGUGAAUACGUUCCCGGGCCUUGUACACACCGCCCGUCACACCAUGAGAGUUUGUAACACCCGAAGCCGGUGGCGUAACCCUUUUAGGGAGCGAGCCGUCUAAGGUGGACCAAAAUUG
rnacentral:rRNA from 1 species